UCCAAGUUACGUUGAUAUUACUUUUAGAAAGAAAUAAGGUCUUGAUUGUGAGUAAAAAGAAGGAGAAGAAGUUGUUGGAAAAUAAGAGAGAAAACAAAGAAGAGGCAAAGGCUUGACGAAAAACGGACAGCUGCAAAUAUCGGCUGUAACAGUCCACAAAUCAGAGAGAAAUACAAACCUAGUAAGGUGUGAAGCCUUAAACAUUCAAAUCUUGUCCAACCAAGUUGAGUUUCAGGACCGGAGCUCGGUAGCGCUACGCAUGAGGGUGAUUAUGAAUGAGGAGACUGGAGAAAGGACGUGGAACAUGGUGGCUCCUUUAAAAAGGAUUUAUGUAAAUCUAGUGGAUAUUUGAAGAUAACUUUUAAUAGUCAAAAUGAUGUUUUGUAAUAUUUUCGAUAUUACACUCUUAUGAUAUAUGUACAGGA